rnacentral:rRNA from 1 species
CAUCGUCUUUUUGAUAAUAAUAUAAGAUUUAGCCUGCCCACUGAGUAUUUAAAUGGCCGCGGUAUUUUGACCGUGCAAAGGUAGCAUAAUAAUUAGUUUUUUGAUUGAAAGCUGGAAUGAAUGGCUGGACGAGAAAAUUGCUGUCUCUGAUUAAUUAUAUUUGAAUUUUAUUUUUAAGUUAAAAAGCUUAAAUUUUGUUAAAAGACGAGAAGACCCUAUAGAGUUUUAUAUUUUAUUUAUGUAGUAAUUGGAAGGAUUUAAUUUUCUUCUUAAAUAAAUUAUUUUAUUGGGGUGAUAAAAAGAUUUAUUUAACUCUUUUUGAAUUUUUACACUGAUAAGUGAUUAUUUGAUCCAUUUUUUGUGAUUAUAAGAAUAAAUUACCUUAGGGAUAACAGCGUAAUCUUUUUAGAGAGUUCUUAUCGAAAUGAAGGGUUGCGACCUCGAUGUUGGAUUAAAGUUAAUUUUUGGUGCAGAAGCUAGAAAAUUGAGUCUGUUCGACUUUUAAAACUUUACAUGAUCUGAGU